rnacentral:rRNA from 1 species
AAUGAACGCUGGCGGCGUGCCUAACACAUGCAAGUCGAAUGUGCCGCAAGGUGCAUGGCAGACGGGUGAGUAACGCGUGGGCAAUCUACCUUCUCGUGGGGAAUAACGCUCCGAAAGGAGUGGUAAUACCGCAUGAGACCCAUGGCUGGGAUGCUGUGGGUGAAACCUGGGGACCUUCGGGCCUGGGGCGAGAUGAGGAGCCUGCGUCUGAUUAGCUAGGUGGUGGGGUAACGGCCUACCAAGGCGACGAUCAGUAGCCGGCCUGAGAGGGUGAUCGGCCACACUGGAACUGAGACACGGUCCAGACUCCUACGGGAGGCAGCAGUGGGGAAUUUUGCGCAAUGGGCGAAAGCCUGACGCAGCAACGCCGCGUGGGUGAUGAAGGUCUUCGGAUCGUAAAACCCUGUCGUUGGGGACGAAGGUGGGGGCGUUAAUAGCGCUUCUGCUUGACGGUACCCGGAGAGGAAGCCCCGGCUAACUCUGUGCCAGCCGCCGUAGUAAAAC